GCUAUGGAAUAUGGUGUCUUGUGAAUUUUGUUAUUUGAGACUUCGAAUUGUGAAAAAACGCCCGCCCGCCGCCAAACGCAAACACCGCAAAACGCACCAUAGCAAAAAAAAAAUCUACCAAGCCGUAGCAUAAUAAUAAUUCAGCAUCACAGAGUCAACAAACAAACAAAGAUAUGAAAAUGCCAACUUUUAUAGCAGAAUACGAGUACAGCAGCAGCGUAGAAUUUAACUCAUGUUUGUCAUAGAACAGUAUCUUUCAAACUGACCGUUGGUGAUUCACCAGGGUCCAGUCUCUAGCGACUCACAAAAUGACAGGCCUAUAUGUCAUUUUUGAGUCGUGUCGGUGACAUUUAGCUAAAGCGUACCUCAGAAUUCAGUCCAUAGACAUUUGUGAGCCGAGGCACACCGAAAAAGACAAGAGGACACAGCUGUUUGAAGCAUGAAUCGCUUUGCUCCGAUGAUGGUCUUUACCACAGUCGUUGUUCUCCUGGCUGUCGAGAUGGUUCUGGUUGUCAGCCAUGCACAACACGCGAUGACCAACUAUCCUCCCAAAAAAUCACCCGAGUGUCCGUGCUUGCUCUCGCGCUGCUGUCCUUCUAUGCGUUGUGAUGCACCGUGCCGGCACUGCUGCCUUUUGGAGACGACAUCAAAUAUGUCAAAUACGGCUGCCGAGUUGAAUUCGAAUUCAAAAGCGGCCAGAGUUGACAAUACUGCCCCGAAUACAACAGGGAGUCAGACUACCCAAAAUCUGGGAUCAACUUGGGGUGUCGAGUGGGAAUCAACGCCAUCGGCGACUGGAGUCGACAGUUCUGCUGCAAGUUUGGAUGGGAAAUGGACGCUGUCACGCGGGGGCUCGGAGUCGAAGUCAAAGUCGGCUGUUGACGACAGUCCUGCCCCGAGCCUGAAUGGGAGUCAGAUUAGUCUAAACCUGACCAAUGCCGGAGUGACUAAAGGCUAGCUGUAAUCAUGUUUGUUGUAAUAUAGUACGUCCUCUUACUGAUUCAAUAAAGCACAUGACGAGAUUAAUGACA